GACGAACGCUGGCGGCGUGCUUAACACAUGCAAGUCGAGCGGUAAGGCCCUUUCGGGGGUACACGAGCGGCGAACGGGUGAGUAACAUGUGGGUGACCUGCCCUCAGCUCUGGGAUAAGCCUGGGAAACCGGGUCUAAUACCGGAUAUGACUCCAUGACGCAUGUUGUGGGGUGGAAAGCCUUGUGCGGCUGAGGAUGGGCCCGCGGCCUAUCAGCUUGUUGGGGGGUGAUGGCCUACCAAGGCGACGACGGGUAGCCGGCCUGAGAGGGCGGACCGGCCACACUGGGACUGAGACACGGCCCAGACUCCUACGGGAGGCAGCAGUGGGGAAUCUUGCGCAAGUGGGCGAAAGCCUGACGCAGCGACGCCGCGUGAGGGAU
rnacentral:rRNA from 1 species